ACGCUUUCGGGUUGUUAAGACUUCAGCAGGGAGUAGUGUUGUGGUUCAUAACCGCAGCAAUUGACGUUACCGCAGACGAGCACCGCUACUCCCGUGCCAGCAGCCGCGUAUACGAGGUGCCAGCGUUAAUCGGAAUUACUGGGCGUAAAGCGCACGCAGGCGGUCUGUCAGUCGGAUGUGAAUCCCCGGGCUCAACCUGGGAACUGCAUUUGAAACUGGCAGGCUUGAGUCUGUAGAGGGGGGGUAGAUUCCCAGGUGUAGCGGUGAAAUGCGUAGAGAUCUGGAGGAAUACCGGUGGCGAAGGCGGCCCCCUGGACAAAGACUGACGCUCAGGUGCGAAAGCGUGGGGAGCAAACAGGAUUUAGAUACCCUGGUAGUCCACGCCGUAAACGAUGUCUACUUGGAGGUUGUGCCCUUGAGGCGUGGCUUCCGGAGCUAACGCGUUAAGUAGACCGCCUGGGGAGUACGGCCGCAAGGUUAAAACUCAAAUGAAUUGACGGGGGCCCGCACAAGCGGUGGAGCAUGUGGUUUAAUUCGAUGCAACGCGAAGAACCUUACCUGGUCUUGACAUCCACAGAAGAUUCCAGAGAUGGAUUGGUGCCUUCGGGAACUGUGAGACAGGUGCUGCAUGGCUGUCGUCAGCUCGUGUUGUGAAAUGUUGGGUUAAGUCCCGCAACGAGCGCAACCCUUAUCCUUUGUUGCCAGCGAUUAGGUCGGGAACUCAAAGGAGACUGCCAGUGAUAAACUGGAGGAAGGUGGGGAUGACGUCAAGUCAUCAUGGCCCUUACGACCAGGGCUACACACGUGCUACAAUGGCGCAUACAAAGAGAAGCGACCUCGCGAGAGCAAGCGGAGCUCAUAAAGUGCGUCGUAGUCCGGAUUGGAGUCUGCAACUCGACUCCAUGAAGUCGGAAUCGCUAGUAAUCGUGGAUCAGAAUGCCACGGUGAAUACGUUCCCGGGCCUUGUACACACCGCCCGUCACACCAUGGGAGUGGGUUGCAAAAGAAGUAGGUAGCUUAACCUUCGGGAGGGCGCUUACCACUUUGUGAUUCAUGACUGGGGUGAAGU
rnacentral:rRNA from 1 species